GGCGGACGGGUGAGUAAUGUCUGGGAAACUGCCUGAUGGAGGGGGAUAACUACUGGAAACGGUAGCUAAUACCGCAUAACGUCGCAAGACCAAAGUGGGGGACCUUCGGGCCUCAUGCCAUCAGAUGUGCCCAGAUGGGAUUAGCUAGUAGGUGGGGUAAUGGCUCACCUAGGCGACGAUCCCUAGCUGGUCUGAGAGGAUGACCAGCCACACUGGAACUGAGACACGGUCCAGACUCCUACGGGAGGCAGCAGUGGGGAAUAUUGCACAAUGGGCGCAAGCCUGAUGCAGCCAUGCCGCGUGUGUGAAGAAGGCCUUCGGGUUGUAAAGCACUUUCAGCGGGGAGGAAGGCGUUGAGGUUAAUAACCUUGGCGAUUGACGUUACCCGCAGAAGAAGCACCGGCUAAUUCCGUGCCAGCAGCCGCGGUAAUACGGAGGGUGCAAGCGUUAAUCGGAAUUACUGGGCGUAAAGCGCACGCAGGCGGUCUGUCAAGUCGGAUGUGAAAUCCCCGGGCUCAACCUGGGAACUGCAUUCGAAACUGGCAGGCUAGAGUCUUGUAGAGGGGGGUAGAAUUCCAGGUGUAGCGGUGAAAUGCGUAGAGAUCUGGAGGAAUACCGGUGGCGAAGGCGGCCCCCUGGACAAAGACUGACGCUCAGGUGCGAAAGCGUGGGGAGCAAACAGGAUUAGAUACCCUGGUAGUCCACGCCGUAAACGAUGUCGAUUUGGAGGUUGUGCCCUUGAGGCGUGGCUUCCGGAGCUAACGCGUUAAAUCGACCGCCUGGGGAGUACGGCCGCAAGGUUAAAACUCAAAUGAAUUGACGGGGGCCCGCACAAGCGGUGGAGCAUGUGGUUUAAUUCGAUGCAACGCGAAGAACCUUACCUGGUCUUGACAUCCACAGAACUUUCCAGAGAUGGAUUGGUGCCUUCGGGAACUGUGAGACAGGUGCUGCAUGGCUGUCGUCAGCUCGUGUUGUGAAAUGUUGGGUUAAGUCCCGCAACGAGCGCAACCCUUAUCCUUUGUUGCCAGCGGUUCGGCCGGGAACUCAAAGGAGACUGCCAGUGAUAAACUGGAGGAAGGUGGGGAUGACGUCAAGUCAUCAUGGCCCUUACGACCAGGGCUACACACGUGCUACAAUGGCAUAUACAAAGAGAAGCGACCUCGCGAGAGCAAGCGGACCUCAUAAAGUAUGUCGUAGUCCGGAUUGGAGUCUGCAACUCGACUCCAUGAAGUCGGAAUCGCUAGUAAUCGUAGAUCAGAAUGCUACGGUGAAUACGUUCCCGGGCCUUGUACACACCGCCCGUCACACCAUGGGAGUGGG
rnacentral:rRNA from 1 species